AGGGUUGUAGUUUAAUGGCAGAACAUCUGCUUUGUAUGCAGAAGGUCCCAGCUUCAGCCCUCAGUGGCGUCUCUA